UCCCUGGUGGCUCAGUUGGUAAGGAACCUGCGUGCCAUGCAGGAGACCCAGGUUCGAUCCCUGGGUAGGGAA
rnacentral:tRNA from 1 species